UCUUAAGUUAUUUAAUUUAUUUUAAAAAUAAAUAACUUUAUUUUGAAUAAAUUACAGACUUACAGAAAAGUUACAUAAACCAUUUCUUCCCAUUUCCCCUAAUAUCAACAUCUUACAGAGCACAGUAUAAUGAUCAAAACCAAGAAAUUCACAGAACACAUUAAGCCACAGACCUUAUUCAAAUUCUGCCUACUGUCCCACUAAUGUUCCUUUUCGGGUCCAGGAUGCAAACCAGAAUCCCACACUGCAUUAAGUUGCUGUGUCUCCUUAGUCUCCUCCAAUCUGGGGCAGCUCCUCCAUCUUCCUUUGUCUUUUAUGACCUUAGCUCCAUAAGUAAUGGCCAGGUAUUUUGUAGAAUAUCCCUCAAUUUGGGUUUAAGGUUUUCUCUAUUAUCUAACCUACAUACCUUAUUCAGAGUUAGAACUGCAGCUAGAACCAAGGAUCCCCAUUUAGAAAUAUAGAUUGAAGUUACACAUUUUGGGUAAGGAAACCACAGAAGUGUGUUCUUGUCCCAGUGCUUCAUAUAAAGAGGUGCGUGACGUCAAUAUGUUAUUACAGGUGAUGUUAAUUUUGAUUACUUGGUUCAGGGCAUGUCUGCCAGGCUUCUCUACUGUAGUUUCUAUUUUUACUUUUGUAAUUAAUAUGCACUUCCUGGGGAGAUACUUUGAGACUAUGCAAAUAUCCUCUCAUUAUACUUUUCACCCGCUAAUUUUAGCACCUAUCAGCAGAUCUUGCCUGCAAGUUAUUACUGUGAUGUUUGCCAAAUGGUGAUCUUCUAUUUCCAUGAUUGCUUCUACAUUUUUAAAUUGGAUUUCUCUAAGGAAGAUCUGUCCCUUCUCUCCUAUUUAUUCAUCUCAAUAUUGACUCAUGGAUAUUUUAUUCUAUGGGUUAUAGUUCAUUACUAUUACUUUUUAAUUUUGGUACCAAAAUUGUCCAAGAUUUAGCUGUUGGGAGCUUUCAUGCUAACUCCUGUGCCGUUUCACUGUCUCCCUAUCAUUUUUUUAAAAAUAGUUUUACAAAAUGUUCCAAGCUCAUCUCGUACUUUCCCUGCCCUAGCCCUGGAAUAAACUGUUUCUCGAAGGAGCUCUGGUUCAUUUUUGUAGAGAAGGAUUUUUAGAAACUGAGGUCUAGGUACUGGGUAUACUGAUUGUUACGGCACUGUUAUUGUUUCCAGGCCCUCUUGGUGAACUGAACUUGGGAUGUCUGUAAUUCCAGCCAUUUCCUUAGCUAUGACAAUUAUCACUAAAUACUUUGCAGAGAAUCAGUGUCUGAAAUUAGCACCUUGAUAUUUUGUGUGUACAACAAGUGUUUAAACUGCGUUUGACAUAGUUCUUCUUGCAAAUGGCAGUCCAGUCAUUCCUUUAGUGUAUAAACUCACAAAUAUUCCCACUGUUCUUCCUGCUCGUGUUCCUCCCUGACGCCUUCCUCUUUGAACUGUGUGUGUCCUU